UACAGAGGGUGCGAGCGUUAAUCGGAGUUACUGGGCGUAAAGGGCGCGUAGGCGGUUGUAUUAGUGUGAUGUGAAAGCCCUGGGCUUAACCUAGGAAGCGCAUCGCAAACGGUAUGACUAGAGUAUAAGAGAGGGUGGCGGAAUUUCCGGUGUAGCGGUGAAAUGCGUAGAGAUCGGAAGGAACACCAGUGGCGAAGGCGGCUACCUGGACAAAUACUGACGCUGAGGCGCGAAAGCGUGGGGAGCAAACAGG
rnacentral:rRNA from 1 species